AUUGAACGCUGGCGGCAGGCUUAACACAUGCAAGACGAGCGGAGCGAGGGUGCUUGCACCUUAGCUUAGCGGCGGACGGGUGAGUAAUGCUUAGGAAUCUGCCUAUUAGUGGGGGACAACAUUCCGAAAGGAAUGCUAAUACCGCAUACGCCCUACGGGGGAAAGCAGGGGAUCUUCGGACCUCGCGCUAAUAGAUGAGCCUAAGUCGGAUUAGCUAGUUGGUGGGGUAAAGGCCUACCAAGGCGACGAUCUGUAGCGGGUCUGAGAGGAUGAUCCGCCACACUGGGACUGAGACACGGCCCAGACUCCUACGGGAGGCAGCAGUGGGGAAUAUUGGACAAUGGGCGGAAGCCUGAUCCAGCCAUGCCGCGUGUGUGAAGAAGGCCUUUUGGUUGUAAAGCACUUUAAGCGAGGAGGAGGCUCUUAAGGUUAAUACCCUUGAUGAGUGGACGUUACUCGCAGAAUAAGCACCGGCUAACUCUGUGCCAGCAGCCGCCGUAACAC
rnacentral:rRNA from 1 species